rnacentral:rRNA from 1 species
GAUGAACGCUGGCGGCGUGCCUAAUACAUGCAAGUCGAGCGAAUGGAUUAAGAGCUUGCUCUUAUGAAGUUAGCGGCGGACGGGUGAGUAACACGUGGGUAACCUGCCCAUAAGACUGGGAUAACUCCGGGAAACCGGGGCUAAUACCGGCUAACAUUUUGAAACGCAUGGUUCGAAAUUGAAAGGCGGCUUCGGCUGUCACUUAUCGAUGGAGCCGGGUCGCAUUAGCUAGUGGGUGAGGUAACGGCUCACCAAGGCAACGAUGCGUAGCCGACCUGAGAGGGUGAUCGGCCACACUGGGACUGAGACACGGCCCAGACUCCUACGGGAGGCAGCAGUAGGGAAUCUUCCGCAAUGGACGAAAGUCUGACGGGGCAACGCCGCGUGAGUGAUGAAGGCUUUCGGGUCGUAAAACUCUGUUGUUAGGGAAGAACAAGUGCUAGUUGAAUAAGCUGACACCUUGACGGUACCUAACCAGAAAGCCACGGCUAACUACGUGCCAGCCGCCGCGGUAA